AUCAUUAUAAUACGUCGGUUUUUAGGUGAAGUGAGUUUGUGUUUUUAGCUGUCUUUACGUUAGCUAGACGCUUGUACAUGCUUUCCCGGAGGGGGGUGCAAGCAAUGACACAUAACGCUUUUGUGUUCAAUUU
rnacentral:ncRNA from 19 species